AAUAAAUUAUUAAUUUUAAAAAUAGUUUGUUUAUCAGUCAAAUUAUAUACUGUUCAUAUUGAAUUCUAAAAGCAAGUAAAAACUCCGUUAUAGCUUAAGGUCAAGUUACAAUAUAUGAAUGGGCUAUGUCACAGAUUUUCUUAAAAUUUUGCAUACACCUUUGACUUACUGAAUUGUGUCUGAAAAUCGAAAAAAAAUCUGCGGUUUUAUCUCUUUUUUCCCUGCCUUAUGAGACUUAUACUAAAGGAAGGGGUACUGAUACUUGUAAAUAAUUGAACAAAUUAAUAGAUAAAUAAGCAUUAUUACCUGUAUUUUCCCUAAAACAUUACUGAUUGAAUACUUUCAAAAUAUGUGCCUUAUGAUAACAUUAAGAAUGGAAAUGGGGAAUGUGUCAAGGAGACAACAUACUAAGACUUACGGAAGGGGUACUGAUACUUAUAAAUAAUUGAACAAAUUAAUAAAUAAAUAAGCAUUAUUACCUGUAUUUUACCUGAGUUUACCUGAGUUUACCUGCCAAAAAAAUUCGCGCAAAUGUAAUCGAAAGCUGCGCGCAAACGUAAUGAUUUUUGCGCGCAAAUGUAAUGGUAAUGCGCGCAAACGUAAUGCACCGCCU
rnacentral:lncRNA from 1 species